rnacentral:rRNA from 2 species
AGGUGCAAUCAUACCAGCACUAAUGCACUAGAUCCCAUCAGAACUUCACAAUUUUGCGUGCUUGAGCGAGAGUAGGACUAGGAUAGGUGACUAGGAUAGGCGCGCCUGGAGUAUUAU